rnacentral:hammerhead_ribozyme from 1 species
AUGCAGAUGACGAGUCCUAAAUAGGACGAAAUGCGCAUCCUGGAC